rnacentral:rRNA from 1 species
UACGUAGGGGGCAAGCGUUAUCCGGAUUUACUGGGUGUAAAGGGGGCGCAGACGGCGCGGCAAGUCCGGAGUGAAAUCCCAGGGCCCAACCCUGGGGCUGCUCUGGAAACUGCCGGGCUGGAGUGCUGGAGGGGCAGGCGGAAUUCCUAGUGUAGCGGUGAAAUGCGUAGAUAUUAGGAGGAACACCGGUGGCGAAGGCGGUCUGCUGGACAGCAACUGACGCUGAGGCGCGAAAGCGUGGGGAGCAAACAGG